CGGCGUGGAUAAGACAUGCAAGUCGAACGCUGGUUUGCGGGUAGCAAUAUCUGCAAACUGGAGUGGCGCAAGGGUGUGUAACACGUGGGUAAUCUGCCGUGAAGUCUGGGAUAACUUGCUGAAAGGCGAGCUAAUACCGGAUGUGAACGCAAGUUCAAAGUUGGGGACCGUAAGGCCUGACGCUUCACGAUGAGCCCGCGGCCUAUCAGCUAGUUGGUGAGGUAACGGCUCACCAAGGCUAAGACGGGUAGCUGGUCUGAGAGGACGACCAGCCACACUGGAACUGAGACACGGUCCAGACACCUACGGGUGGCAGCAGUCGAGAAUUUUUCUCAAUGGGCGAAAGCCUGAAGGAGCGACGCCGCGUGGGGGAUGAAUGGCUUCGGCCCGUAAACGCCUGUCAUUUGCGAACAAGUUGAUUCACCUAACAC
rnacentral:rRNA from 1 species